rnacentral:rRNA from 1 species
UUAGGAAUCUUCCGCAAUGGACGGAAGUCUGACGGAGCGACGCCGCUUGGAGGAGGAAGCCCUUCGGGGUGUAAACUCCUGAACUGGGGACGAAAGCCCUGUGUAGGGGGAUGACGGUACCCAGGUAAUAGCGCCGGCCAACUCCGUGCCAGCAGCCGCGGUAAUACGGAGGGCGCGAGCGUUACCCGGAUUUACUGGGCGUAAAGGGCGUGUAGGCGGCCUGGGGCGUCCCAUGUGAAAGGCCACGGCUCAACCGUGGAGGAGCGUGGGAUACGCUCAGGCUAGAGGGUGGGAGAGGGUGGUGGAAUUCCCGGAGUAGCGGUGAAAUGCGCAGAUACCGGGAGGAACGCCGAUGGCGAAGGCAGCCACCUGGUCCACUUCUGACGCUGAGGCGCGAAAGCGUGGGGAGCAAACC